CCAUGUGAUCUAUGAACAUGACAAACCCCACUUCCUGUUUAAAGGAGUCACACAGGAACAGGUACUACGUAUAUGUGCUGCCAGGCACACAGAGACACUGAACUCUCAGCUUGAGGCAGAACUGAGCACAUUUGUGCAGGGGAAUCCAGGCCUCAUGCCACUCUCCAGCCUGCUCUGGGUGUUCCUGGCCAUCACCUUCUCUGGAUCCAGUGUGGCCCAGCAAGUAACUCAAGUCCAGACAUCCGUACCCAGUCAAGUGGGGCAGACAGUCACCCUGAAUUGUCAAUAUGAAGUAAGUUGGACCACAGAAUACUACAACAUUUAUUGGUAUAAACAGCUUCCCAGGGGAGAGAUGACUUUCCUUAUUCGUCAGUAUUCAAAAGACAGUAAUGCAAGGAAGGGCCGCUACUCUGUAAAUUUCCAGAAAGCAGAUAAAUCCAUCAGCCUCAUCAUUUCAGCCUUACAGCUUGAAGACUCUGCAAAGUACUUCUGUGCUCUCUGGGAGCUCACAGUGCUUGAAGUAAUGGGAAAAGCUGAACAAAAACCCCAGAGCUUAAUAAGAGAGAGCCCCACUGCUUCAGGACCUCAGUUGAAGUGCACACCUGCACAUCCCAGAAGAGAUGGUAGUCCUGUGGUUGCUUCAUCUGUGGUCUGA